UAUACGUGUACGCCGAUCAGUUCGUAAUAAUUUGAGUACUUAAUAUAAUACAUUGUCUGGAUUAUGUAAGUUUCAAGUGGAAACAAGGCACACGAAGAUCGAUCUAAGAUAAGAAAUACAAAUUUUUAAGUAUAAUUACGUAGCGUGAGAAGAGAUUAUAAAUAUGGGUAAGCGAUAAAUUUAUAUAUAUAUAUAUAUACAAUAGUAUUAGUAAGUGGUAACUAAGGAGAGAAACGUUAACGUAUAGAAAAGAUAAGAAAAUAUGAGGAAAGUGAACAGCUGCUGAAACGAUCGGUGCCACGGGCAAUUUCGACUCGGUGUCGCGUAUAACGUUCAUAGGAGGAAGGAUCAAGAAGGAAAUCGACAACACGGCGGAACUCUUUCUUCCAUGGAAAACGAUAUCCACAGAAUUGGAAGGAAUGGCAUUGCCUAAGGUAAUAAAUCGAUAGAUCGAUAAACCAAUUAAUUAUGUACAUCGAAAACCUUACAUAUCAUAAUGGCUAAUAAUGACGAAUCCGUUCGCAAUGAAUACUACUAGUACGGUGGUGUAACCGAUGGAUCGACUUCCUAUUAAUAAAUUCGCUUCCCAUGCGACGUCCUAUGAAUCAUUCCAUAGGCAACGGGGGAAAUUCUAUUAGUCCGAUUGGUUUACGCCUCCGUGCUAUGGUCCCAAUCGAUUCGUCUUCGUUCUUGGGGACAACUGGUACAGCAGAUAUGCAACCACCCUUCGAUUAUAUUUUGUUCGACCGAACGACGGCACGUUAUGCCAAUGAUAAUAAACGCACGAGGCAGAAAAUCGCUAGUUCGAACGAACUGCUAUCGCUAAAUUGUAUCAACCUUUCUAAUUGGAAUGCUUUUUAUAAAUCGAAUCAUAGUGAUUUGUUAGAGAGCCAAAUAAAUGUGAGUAAUACGUACAUAUCUGAAAUACGAGAGAUCGUUGUUUCUCGUUUCUACGGAGAAUAUAAAUAAUGUGUCUUAUCGCUACGAAGGCUUGGAAAGGACUAACAAUAAGUUCGACAUUGGAAGGAUCUGCUAAAUGAUAACCUGUACCGAGAGAGAGAGAGAAGGUAAACAUUAUAAACAAAUAAUAUACCUUAGCCGAUUAUAUACGUAUUCUCAAAGAAUACAUUAACAUCUCAAGGACAGUGAAUAAUACCUCUUCACGAUCGUAUCAAUGUUAAUAAUCGAUUUCUUCUAGAAAUAUUUUUCAAUACAUACAUAUGUAUGUUUCUUUAUAUCCUCGAACUAUCAAACGCAGAUUGUAAUAAACGUGGUAUGGACAGGUCAAUUAGCAACGUAUAGAUGCAAAAUCCUCAUUCAUUAUCUUACAUAAUCUAUAUCUCCGAACAAGCAGACGCAUUAGGAGCGAACGAGAGAGAGAGAGAGAGAGAGAGAAAGAGAGAAAGAGAGAGCUAAUUGCAAGGUCCCUAUUAGGAGAACUAUCUGCUUACUAAUCUGGUCACUUAGAAUGCGAUCGAUAGAGAUCGUUGUGAUUGUAAGACGAGAGAGACAGAGAGAGAGGGAGAAAGAGAGAGAACUAUGAAAGUCAGAGAAGAUAACAAAAAUUAGUUUGACUCAAAUUGGCCAAAAGGGUUGCACUUAAUUUACAUAGAGAUUUCUUCGAAGAUCUCGAGCAGCUCGAAAUCCAGCAAUUCGACUCGGUUUAAUCCUAUGGCCGUCGACAUUAAUGCCGGAAGUAUUUAGUCGUCGAUGAGGCAGAAUGAGCCCCUCGCUCAAGAAGGGUGGAAUCUACAGGUCUCGGCAAAGCUGUAAUUCUCAUAACUUGAAAAUCAGAAGGCUCUCGUACUCGCGAACGGGUGCGUAACCCCGUGGCUCCGAGUUAACAACGUUCCACAAGAGAAUACGAAGAAGAGAAAAGGAGGGAGGACCAUAGCGUAACCAUACAUCGGCACGAAGAGAUUAAACGUUAAAAGGCACGUUGCGCCUGUCAGAAAUCGGACUCAAUCCUCAAACACUCCUCGGUGCACCCCUCGGUUCUAAAAAUUACACACGAAUCUAAACGGAUAUUGUCAAAACAUACGAUAUAUCUUUUAUUGUACCUAUUAAGAUUAUCCUCUCAAAAGAUUUUGGAAUCUUAUUCAUUAGUUCCUUGAAUCAUUACGAUUCUCUAUUUUCUAUAAUUUGGAAAGUACUCCCUCUAUCCAUUUCUAUCUCUCUUAAAGCAUAGCCAAAGGAUGAUCGAAGUAAAGGAACGUACGUUCGGAUAUCCAUUCGUUACACGUCCAGAGAACGUAUUUCUCGUGGUAGAUCGAAGGAAAAGGAGAAAUUACCUCUAGCGUAGAUUCAAGGGAAAUUCUCCUUUCCGUAUGUUUCAUACCUACGUCGAAUUUAAAUGAAAGCAUAGCGUGACGU